AGCGGAGGAAAAGAAACUAACAAGGAUUCCCCUAGUAACGGCGAGUGAAGAGGGAAGAGCCCAAGAUUGAAAGCUGGCGUCUUCGGCGUCCGCAUUGUAAUCUCAGAAAGUGUUUUCCGCUUCGGACCAUGCCUAAGUCCCUUGGAAAAGGGCAUCAUAGAGGGUGAUAAUCCCGUACAUGGCAUGGAGCGCCCGAAGCUUUGUGAUACGCUUUCUAAGAGUCGAGUUGUUUGGGAAUGCAGCUCAAAAUGGGUGGUAAAUGCCAUCUAAGGCUAAAUAUUGGGGAGAGACCGAUAGCGAACAAGUACAGUGAUGGAAAGAUGAAAAGAACUUUGAAAAGAGAGUUAAACAGUACGUGAAAUUGCCAAAAGGGAAGGGUAGGAGGUCAGAGAUGCGGCCUGGGAUUCAGCCUUGCUUUUGCUUGGUGUUUUUCCCAGAUUGCAGGCCAACGUCGGUUUUGGGCACUGGAGAAGGGUAGGAGGAACGUGGCACCUCUCGGGGUGUGUUAUAGCCUCCUACUGGAUACAGCGACCGAGACCGAGGACAGCAGCGUACUCGCAAGAGCGGGCCUUCGGGCACCUUUACGCUUAGGGCGUUGGCAUAAUGGCCCUCUACCACCCGUCUUGAAACACGGACCAAGGAGUCUAACAUGUAUGCGAGUCUUUGGGUGGCAAACCCAUAGGCGCAAUGAAAGUGAAUUCAGGUGGGAUCCGCAAGGUGCACCAUCGACCGAUCCUCACGUCUUUUAAGUCGUGGAUUUGAGUAAGAGCAUACCUGUUGGGACCCGAAAGAUGGUGAACUAUGCCUGAAUAGGGUGAAGCCAGAGGAAACUCUGGUGGAGGCUCGUAGCGGCUCUGACGUGCAAAUCG
rnacentral:rRNA from 1 species